CACCGGGCGGCCCCGGGCGCGGAUGCUCCGCCGGCUCAGCCCCGGGCGGGCCCGGCUCCUGCCGGCGGCGGCACCGGCCGCUGCUGCCGCCGCUGCCGCUGUUGCCGCUCCCUCCUCCUCCUCCUUCUCCUCCUCCUCCCCCGAGCGCGUCGGGAGCCGCGCCGAGCCCCUGCGGGCGGUGCCGCCGCCGCCGCCGUGUUUGGGGCGAGCGCGGCGGCGGCGGGGGGAGCAGCUCUGCGGCGCUCCGGGCCCCGGCAAUGGUGACAGCGGGCGCGGGGCGCGCCCCCCCCCCAGUCCCCACCACCGGAGCCGGCUCCCCGUUUCCCUCCCCCCCCCCCGCCCGCCCUCCGCGCCCCCCGGGGGCUCGGCCGGUCGCUCCUUUCGGCGCCUCUUUUUUUUUUUUUUUUUUUUUUUCCUCCCCCCGGGCGGCGGCGGCAGCAGCGGCGGCGGCGGCUCCCUCAGGGCGGCGCGGCCGCGCUCAUCCCCCGGCCCGCAGCGCUCGCCGGCGCGGGGCUCCCAUCAUGGCCGCGGCUUCCGAGAGGGACGGCGGGCGGCGCCGCCACGCCCACCGCGCCGCAUCCGCCGAGAGAGAAAAGUAGUCCGCUCCGGGGAUCCGCCACCGGAGGACCGGGGGAGCGGAGAGCGGGCCGGGUAAGGGGGGGGAGAGGCUCGCUGCGAGCGCGCCGCCCGUACCCCUCAGCCCGCCGGCCCCCCCCUCGCUCCGUCCGGGAGCGAGGGGAGGGCCGGCGGGCGGAGGGAUACGGGCGGUGAGGUGAGGCUCGGUGGGUGCUCUGCGGCCCGGCGGGUCACGUGGGCGCUCGCGGCGGCGCCUCCCCCGCGGGCGGAAGUGGCCGUGAGGGGACGGGGCGGCUACGGAGCCCCCUCAGAGCCCCCCGAGCCGUCUCGGAGCACCCCUGAGCACCCUCGGGGCGCCCCGAAACCCUUCCGAGCUCCCCACCCCCCCCGAGCUGGCCUUCCGCGCCCCGCCGCCCCCCAGUCAGGCCCGCCCCGCCGAGCACAGGGGAAGAGCGGUUUCGGUGCGGCCCCGGUGAGGGGGGGGGGUUUGAGCCCGGCGGGUUGAGGGGGCUGAGUGUCCUCCGCUGUGGCCCCGCCGGGUUUGGCGAGGAGCGGGGCGCCCGCGGUGAGCGAGCGCCGAUCGCCCCCUGCAGCCACCGGGCACGGAGGAAGGGAGGGAGAGGGGGUUUGGGGCCACCUGCUGCCCUCGGAGUCACACGAUCGUUGAGGUGGGAAAAGCCCUCCCAGCCCAUGGAUCCCCCCCUGUGCCCGAUGCCCACCUUGUCCCCCAGCCCAGAGCACUGAGUGCCACGGCCAGGCCUUCCUGGGACACCUCCAGGGAUGGGCACUCCAAACCUCCCCGGGCAGCCCCUGACAAUCGAUACCUGACAACCUUUUCCAGCAAGAAAUUCCUCCUCGUGUCCUCGGGACAAUCCAAGCAUGGGCACGGGGACCUGACAGUCCCCCCGGGUCGUGCCGGCUGGCUCAGCCCUCCCGGCUGUGCUGUUUCCAUGGAGUUUUCUGUCCCACUCCAUCCCCCUUCCCACAUGGAUGACAAUUAUCCUGGCAGGGGGAAAGCACUGUCUAUAAAUCUCUAAAUCAGCCUUUAAACCCCUUUUAACCCCAGCCUACAAGGUCCUUCACAGUCUAAGCUGAGAAUUCUUGCAAGUCUUUGGGAAUUACCCAUGUUAAUGUUCUGCAGGAAAACGACCAUCAGGAAUCCUGGUGCAGCCUGAGCUUCUGGAUAUCAACACUGGCUGCAGUCUGGGACCAGUUUCCAUCUUUCUCACUGUUUGUUUGGCAUGUAGGACCUCUGCAAAGCAUCAGGAAUGGGAUCUGUUGGAGAUCAGCAUCUGCCCCAGCUGCUGAGGGAUCAGGAGGAAGCUUGGCACGUGAUAUGUUUGGGAAAAUGGGAUUACCGGGACAAUCCAUGUGUAAAUUUGCCUCCCUCAAAAACGGUCUUCAUGUCAUCCCAUCGCUGGGCAGGGAUGAGGGAUAUCCCAUAGAAGCCAAGGAUAACACACCUUGGAAGGAAAUCUUUAAAGGGUGGUUGGUUGUUUUAUAAAAAAAUCUGCAAAGAAAAAAAAAACAAGAGGAAAAUUGAAAAACCACUUUUUGUGCAACCAGAAAAGAGACACCACGGAAAGGAGUGUCCUGAGGGGACGAGGAGAAUCCAUGUACCCCUUUUUCCAUAAAAAGCACAUGAUGUAAACCAGGUAUCUCCCAAAAAACCAGAUCUGUAAGUCCACCUCAAAUGUUUCUUGGGCUGGCAGGGAAAGGCAUCUCACUGAAGACACUUUGUAUCUAAAUAAUGAAUGUCAAUAAUAACCAAAAAUUAAUAAAUAAAUAAAUAGUUA